CCCAGACUACCCUAACAGCAUAUACAUUAGUCCUCUUGCCGUCCCAGAGAGACAGGGAGGGUAACAAGCUGUAUAUGAACCCAGACUACCCUAACAGCAUAUACAUUAGUCCUCCUGCCGUCCCAGAGAGACAGGGAGGGUACCAAGCUGUAUAUGAACCCAGACUACCCUAACAGCAUAUACAUUAGUCCUCUUGCCGUCCCAGAGAGACAGGGAGGGUACCAAGCUGUAUAUGAACCCAGACUACCCUAACAGCAUAUACAUUAGUCCUCCUGCCGUCCCAGAGAGACAGGGAGGGUACCAAGCUGUAUAUGAACCCAGACUACCCUGUA